AAAAAAGUGACAGAGUGGUGAUGUGGUUGGCUUGAAACCAACAUAUGGAGGUUCGAUCCCUUCCUUUUUUG
rnacentral:tRNA from 1 species